CAAAUCUGCGCCCCUCACACACAGCAAGCUGGCCUACAUCAGAUUAAAUGCAUGGGUUCCCUCACUCGAUCAAGCGCUUCUGCGCUCAUCCCAAUCCAUUCUCGAAAACCCUAGCAGAGUAAAAACCAGUCUCGGAUUGCUGGAUUCUCCUUUCAUUUAUGCAAAUCUUCAAAUGGAAAAUGCUCAACGCCUCUCCAUCCAUAGUGCUUCUAUAGUAACUGUCUUCGAAGGCAAGCCUCGGAUCUCCUUCUUUCAUCUUCUCUUAGGGUUUCUCAAACCGCAGCUCGAUCUAUCUUGAUUGAUUCUUUGUUCUCGCCCGAGGAUGUCGAGAUCGGAUCCCGACCGUUGGAUUUCUUCCAGUCCAUCACUUCGGAGCGGGUGAAGGUCAUCUCGAUACUCGGGCUGGCACUGGCGCUCUAUAACACGUAUUGGGUGGUGAUGUCGAUGGCGAUCGUUCCUCUGUUGCCUGUGUUGUUCAGUUGCAUUUGGUAGCAGCUUCAAAGAAGGGAUGCGGAUAUUCCAACUGUAAACAGAACAAGCCGAGCUUCUCAUCCAGUCCAUUCAUAUACUAUACAUCCCUGGCUAUAGGGGUGUUGCUAGAUGACCUGCUUGUGGCUGAAGAUCUAGCUGCUGCUGAAACAACAAGUGCUGCUUCACAUGCUGCAGCAGCAGCUGCUGCAACCAAUGUACAAGCAGGGAGAUUACCUGCAAGAUACACAUUUGUUGAUGAAAGAACAAGACAAGAAAUUCCUAAAGUAGGUGUUGAUGGUGCUGUUGUGCUGGGUAGCCUGGUUGCCCCUCCUAUAAAUGGGAUAUGUACACCGAUAUAAGUGCUGAGAAUGCAAUGCUUCAAAGGAGACUUAGUAAAGGGGUUGAAUACUUGGUUGAGGUCAGCUGCAGAAGCUGGGCCUAUAAGUGCUACAUUAGCUGCUGCCAAGGCCUGACAAAUUAAUGAAGAGAUUGAGUAAAUUACGGAUCGGGAUCAUGGAGCAGAUGUUACACCAAGUGGGAAACAAAUUUCUACCCUGAUUAAGGUGUCAGAUUCCACCUUAACAAAUAACGUCCCACCAUCUGGAGUUCGGCUGCAUUGCAGAGCUGUCGGUAGUUAAAUACUGCCUUUUUGAAUCUAUUUUAACUUACUAAUAUGAAGUUGCUUCUAUUCCUGUAUGUUGACUCAGAAAUUACUCAAUUUGCUUACAAAUUAUCUGCAGGUUGUUGCUGUA